UACGGAGGGUGCAAGCGUUAUCCGGAUUCACUGGGUUUAAAGGGUGCGUAGGUGGGUUGGUAAGUCAGUGGUGAAAUCCCCGAGCUUAACUUGGGAACUGCCAUUGAUACUAUUAAUCUUGAAUACCGUGGAGGUUAGCGGAAUAUGUCAUGUAGCGGUGAAAUGCUUAGAUAUGACAUAGAACACCAAUUGCGAAGGCAGCUUACUACGGGAACAUUGACACUGAGGCACGAAAGCGUGGGGAUCAAACAGG
rnacentral:rRNA from 1 species